GGCAGGGCGGCGGAGCCCUCUCUUAGCCCCUCGGCGCGGCAGAGCGUCCUGGGGUGCCGGCAGCCGCCGCGGCGCUCAGAUUGUGGAAACCUGAACUGAAAUAUCCUGUGACUGACAACGACACCAAAAGAUUCACCAGUAUAUAGUCUUGGACCUGACACACUGACUGGAGUCUGCUUGUUCACAGAUCACAAAGGAACAGAGAAUUUGCCUUGUUUAACAACAGACACAGCAUCUUGUCAUCUGCUUAACCAGG